GGUACAAACAAGGGGGAUCUGGUCCGGAUCCAGAUCGUGAUCUCCACCUCGGUACAGUAACUUGCAUGGAGGGGAAGUUGAUGGUUGUUUAGGGGGGUGAGAUAUUACAAUAGCUUCUGAAAAACUAAUAGAACUGUUGCAGGGAAAUAAAACAGGAGAGAACAAUGGCAACAAAAACAAGAGCAAAGAUGGUGGUGAGGUGCCCGGGUGGACCCUGCCUCUGCUGUGGGAGCCUCCAGCUGUGCUCCGGGGAAAAAAGGGGGACACGCGUAUUGGAGGCUUUUCACCAAGGAGCACAGAGAGAAAGGGAGGGAGAGAGAGAGAGACCCACCUUCCUCCUCCUCCUGCUGCUUGUCGUCCCCUCUUCCUCACCCCGAGAAAGGGGCCCGAGGUGA
rnacentral:lncRNA from 1 species